ACAGCAGUCGCCGCGGGAAUACAGAGGGUGCGAGCGUUAAUCGGAUUUACUGGGCGUAAAGCGUGCGUAGGCGGCUUUUUAAGUCGGAUGUGAAAUCCCUGAGCUUAACUUAGGAAUUGCAUUCGAUACUGGGAAGCUAGAGUAUGGGAGAGGAUGGUAGAAUUCCAGGUGUAGCGGUGAAAUGCGUAGAGAUCUUGAGGAAUACCGAUGGCGAAGGCAGCCAUCUGGCCUAAUACUGACGCUGAGGUACGAAAGCAUGGGGAGCAAACAGGAUUAGAUACCCCUGUAGUCCCUGUCUCUUAUAC
rnacentral:rRNA from 1 species